UACGUAGGGUGCGAGCGUUAAUCGGAAUUACUGGGCGUAAAGGGUGCGCAGGCGGUUAUAUAAGACAGAUGUGAAAUCCCCGGGCUCAACCUGGGAACUGCGUUUGUGACUGUAUGACUAGAGUACGGUAGAGAGGGGUGGAAUUCCUGGCGUAGCAGUGAAAUGCGUAGAUAUCAGGAGGAACAUCGAUGGCGAAGGCAGCCCCUUGGACCUGUACUGACGCUCAUGCACGAAAGCGUGGGGAGCAAACAGG
rnacentral:rRNA from 1 species